GAGGGUAUAGCUCAAGCAGAAGAGUGCAUGCUUAGUAUGCAUGAGGUCCUGGGUUCAAUCCCCAGUACCUCA
rnacentral:tRNA from 1 species